UUUAAUCUCCCUUACUCCUAAUACCCUAAAAGAACCCCUAACCUAAAAAACUAAGAGAUCAACCAUUUUCCAUGAACCCAUGAGCACCCUUCUUCUUCCUUCUUCAUAACCUAAAACAAAAAUCUAGAACCCUAGUCUAAAGGUAUCCAUUUGAUCAUCUUCUACAACACCGUCUUCUUCAACCUAAAAAAACUAGGCUUCAUCUUCACUAAAAAAGCCAACAUAACGCCACCACCCCACUGCUCCUCCUCUCUUCAUUCUUUUUCUCCUCAUCUUUGCUAACAAAAGAGCGACCCCGUCUCACCACCAUAAUCGUCGGAGUUGACCACCGGCGACAACUACUGUUACUGCUGUGAUGGGGUGAACGAAUAUCCCUAGCCGCUAUCCAGCUUACCAGAAAACGAGCAAAUUUGCCGCUCCUUCACCACCCAACUCGCCGGAAAACACACGGACAGAAACGCAAGGACACACACACACACAGAACCGUUCCUGCUUCUUCUUUUUGAUCUUUUCUUUGUUUGCUCUUUUUCUCUUGCCAUGACAGGAGAGUCCAUGAAGCCCCAGCAAAUGAAAUAAAUUCAUCACUGUCAUUCUCGCAAGUUACUCAAAGAGAUAAGCUGUUUCUGAUCUUAAACCUACAUACCCUAACCUUUCUUCUUCAUCAGUACACUAGCCCCACCCCAUCUCCAACACCAGACGGAACUCUCACACUGACUCGGCAAAAAAAUAGAGGAUUUGGAAUAGCUUUCAAGCUGUUGAAAACGAUUGAUUGUGAGCUUGUUCGUUUGUUUUGUUGGCUGAGCUUCGUGGCUUUCUGGUGCUUGUGUUUCAAAACUGCCGUAAAAUAAAGCUUCAGAUUCAUUGAGAUGUAGUUGAGUUGAACUUCGAUCCCAUUCGAGGUGGCAAUUUCGAGGUUGUCCAUUCGAGGUUUUUUCGGGCAGAUUCUUGGUUCCAUCGAGUUUGUCGCUGCCCAAAUUUUUCGGAGUUAAACAUUUUCAGAUUCAAAAUUACUUUUUUAAGGUAUAUUACUAUCCCUUCAUUGUUCUCACUGUUUUCUUAUCUUUGAAUAUGAUGGGUUCAUUGGACAUUUGUUGUUUUGUCAUUUUAUCAUGCCUUAGCUUCCGUUUUAAUUUCCUUUGGUGAUUAAUAUGACUUUUACUUGUAUUGCUUUGCUGUAAUUAUGCUUUGUUAUAAUUGCUUACUUGCAGUUUAGUUUAAAUGUUUAACUGUUGUCUAUUGUUCAUCAUUUAGGUAAGAUAAUUAAUGUUUAAUUUAAAUUGUUGAAUUGGGUAAAUCGGAUCUGUGGAGUUGGUACUAAUAGGAGCGAAUAGAGGUUUGGCUUUGUCCCGCUGUAUUGACCCAGUAAAGUAAAAAUUUAGUUUGAAUAGAAUUUGGGUUGAUGAGACUAACAAGAAUUAAUAUGUUCAAAUAACUUCACAUAGCUUGCAUACUUUAGGAAGGUAUUAAUAAAUCAAUUAUCGCGAUUAUCUACACGUACGCGUGACAUAGUUACGAUACAAAAUAAAUCGAGAUAUGCAUUCUCGUACUUCGGCCAAACAAUCUUACUAAUAAUAAAUGCUAUUAAUUGUCUACACGUUCGCGUGACAUGAGUAUUUUUUUUAAAUGAAUUUUCGUAGCUUGCUUUAGACACGAUUCAAUAUAUUAUCGUGAUUCUGUACACGUUCGUGUGACAUAAUUAUGAUCUUAAAAAAUAAAAUCGAGGUUUGCGUUCAUGCCACUUCGGCCAAGCUUUAUUAAUAAAAACUAAUUGUUAGGAAUUGUGGACAUGUACGCGUGACAUGAUUCUUGACGCGCCGAACGAAAUGAGUACAUGUACGCGUGACUUAUUUUUUAAGAUAACUCCUUAAUUAAGAAUAAUUAAGCAAAUAAAAGCGGUAAGAGGUAAACAUGUACAUAGGUUUAAAAAAAAGUAAUUAGAUAAUUUAAUAAGCCAGGUAUGAUUAAAGCGACCGCGCUAAAACUACGGAACCCGGGAAUGCCUAAUACCUUCUCCUGAAUUAACAUAAUUCCUUACCCAGAUUUUUGUGUUUUACGGACUGUAAAACAGAGUCAUACUUUCUCGAUUCGGGAUUUUAAACCGGUGACUUGGGACAUCAUAAAUUAUCCCAAGUGGCGCUCUGAAUUAGAAUAAAUAAUCCCAUUUCGAUUAUUGUCAUUAAUUUGAAAAACUCCCUUAUAUCUCUUUCGGGUAGGAAAAUAAGGUGUGACAACUCUGGCGACUCUGGUGGGGAACUAGAACCCAGAAUCUCUAAUUCACGGUUCAGUAUUCGACCUUGUUAAUAUGAUCUAUGCUUGACUUUAUUGUUUGUUGAUAUUACUGUAUUUUGUGGGCCUAAUGUGUUAAUUGCCGCUUUGAUAUUAUUUGAACUAUAUUUAAAUGUUUUAUUAUGCCUCCCUUCUGCGUCUUCUAAAAAUAUGGUGCACACGUAUGCGUGGCCCCCUUUUUUGUUAGAAGUCAUACCAAAUAGAACGAGGCUUGGGUCAGCAACAAGGCUGGGUAGACUUUCGUGCUCCCGGUACGUUACCCUACCUCGGCUCGAGUUGUCCGCUCGGGUAAGCCAGGUCUAGAACACAACCCCAAGUUUAAACCUAUAAUAACAUAACCUCAUGCCGAAUCCCUAGUAGGAACGUUUGUUUGCAUCACGUGCAUUUGACUUAAGGGACUCAACACAGGGGUUGUGUCCAUUUAUAACAAGUGUACCCAAAAAUAAAAGACGAUCCUAAUGUAUUCUAUGUGCUACAUGUUGCAAUCUUCAAGGGUAAAAAAGGCCAUUUGGUGGACCAAUGAUGGUUGAGGGUAAAUGAGAAAGAAAAGAGGGUGAAGUGUGAAAAUAAAGCAAGUAGGGCCCAGUUAUACUUUUCUUUCACAAUCUUUCAAGAAAAGACCAAAAAAAAAUGAAAAUGAAAAAAUCCAAAAAGAUUUUGCACUUUCCCCAUCAUUUUUUCAAAAAAAAAAAUACAAACAAAAGAAAAAAAGAAAAUCCAAAAAGAUUUUGCAUGUUUCAUCAUUUUUCGAAAAAAAAGAAGAUAAAAAUAUAUGUUCACUAAAUUAGUUAUUUUUUUAAUUCUCACCCGUAUCCAGUCUUCCUGAACUACGCAUACCUGAUUCUCGUCUUUCAGGGCGGGAUACGUAGGCAGACCACAUAGGGUCCGGUCUUCUUAGUGAGUCUUAGAUUUUUGGCUUCGAGGGUCGUAGCCAAAUCUUGCAUCUCUAGCCACUUUUGGCCACAUCCGCCGUUUUGCAAAAUUAGGCUAUUUUCGCAAAGUGAUUUGUUUAAUUGUGUCUGGAGAGUCUUCAAUCCACAAUUAGGUAUCUCUUUAGUUUAAGGUCCGUCCUUGUCGAAUUUGCAUGUCUAGCCGCUUUUGGCCACAUAGGCCGCUUUGCAAAAUAGGGCUAUUUUUACAAAAGUUGUUCAAUUAACCCAUGUCUUAGAGUCCUAAGUCCACAACAAGGUGUCCUCUCUGUUUAAGGUCCAUUAUGUUGAAUUUGCAAUGCUUAACCAUUUUCUAGCCACGUAGGCUGUUGCUACAAAAUCAGUCAUUUCUGCAAAGUAAUUUUUUCAUGUCUUAGAGGUCACCUUUGUUGAGUUUGCACUUCUUGCCGCCUUUUGGCCUCGUAGGCUAUUUUGCACAAUCAUGUCUUGCAUGUGUCCAAUAGGGAGAGUUAUUGUCUCACAUAGUGUUCUAAAUCCUUAACACUAUUUGGUUUUAUUUUUCUUAUACAGGUGUGGAUCUACUUACCGAAGUUUGAGCAUGACAGACACCCGAGGACCAUCUGGUCAGGACCGUUGCAUCCAGGAGUUGCUUAAGGAGAUUUUUUAUUUUUUGAGUCCAUUUAUUUUUAUGUUGUCUUGUACUUUAUAGUCAUGUCCAUGUAGUAAUUAUUCUUUUAGUUGGUGUCGGAGCUUGUCAUAGUAUAGUUAAGUUGAGUCUCUCGUUAUCAUAUUUCCUAUUUUGUAUUUGAAAAAUAAAAAAAAAGUUGUAAAUGAAUAAUCCAAAGAGAUUUUUAUCUUUUUUAGUUU
rnacentral:lncRNA from 1 species